rnacentral:misc_RNA from 1 species
UUUCCGUAGGUGAACCUGCGGAAGGAUCAUUAAUGUGUUUGGGCCUCACGGCUCUUCAUUCCGACGCUGUGCGCCUUCGGGCUGCACGCUGAGGGAGCAUAUAUCCACCCCCUGUGCACACACACGGUGGCGAGCUGGGUAACGGCUCGCCGCUGAUCUUUACACACGUCUAAAAGUCAUUGUAUGUUUAUUUGAGAUAAAAACACAACUUUCAGCAACGGAUCUCUUGGCUCUC